UUAGCUUUCUAUUAUUACCUUCUAAAAGGUAGCUUAAAAUAAUGACUAGCAGGAAAGUGUGUGAUGAUUCUGAAUUAUUUUGCCUGCGCCUGUGGCCGCUACAGCAACAGCAGCACUUCAAAUUCCUACUAUUGGAAUUGGGGCCGGAGCCUUUUGUAGUGGACAGGUGCUAAAUAGUUUAUCAUGAUGAUCUUGGUAUGCUUCAACACCCCAUCAUGCAAAGGUUACACCGAAAUUUUGCAAGCAAUAUACUCGUGUCGGAGACAUUAUCAAUAAAGCCUUACUAGAGUAUAAAGAAGACGUGAUGAACGGUUCAUUCCCUGAUACUCACCAUAGUCUAUACAAAAUUAGUGAAGCAGAUGCUGAAAGUUUUUCAAAUGAGUUGCAAAAGUUAAGUUUUGACAAAGCAGCGUCUGCAGCAUCUGAAGCAGUUCAAAAGCUUAAUGCAACCAAAUAAGUUUAGUGAAGGUAACUAAACAAAUCAAUAGUAAAGUUAUGGAGGUACCCUUCAUGUUUUUUGUCAUUUGAUGUCGUCCGUCAUUUUUUGGUGGCACACCAGGUUAAAACGGAUUUGAAGCAACAUUAUAGAAUUGAAGUUCAGAUUUGACUGAUACAGAGUGAUGAUGCCACUUUCUUAGGGCAAUUUGUACCAUUUUCUUUUAGUAUCAAUUUUUUGUUCAUCAUUUUAUAUGGAACAUGAAUGAAACCUUAGGCAGAUUACAAAAGGAAAUCAUGUUCUGUAUCAAUGUAAGAGCAAAAUAUUGAAAACUGAUUUUCAUAUUCUUUUUACUAUCCAGAGAAGUGGUCCAUAAG